UACGUAGGGUGCGAGCGUUGUCCGGAAUUAUUGGGCGUAAAGAGCGCGUAGGCGGCUAGAUAAGUCCGGUGUGAAAGUCACAGGCUCAACCUGUGAAUGCCGCUGGAAACUGUCUGGCUAGAGUCCGGAAGAGGAGAGUGGAAUUCCUGGUGUAGCGGUGAAAUGCGCAGAUAUCAGGAGGAACACCGGUGGCGAAGGCGGGUCUCUGGGCCGAUACUGACGCUGAGGAGCGAAAGCGUGGGGAGCGAACAGG
rnacentral:rRNA from 1 species